UACGUGCCAGCAGCCGCGGUAAUACGUAGGUGGCAAGCGUUGUCCGGAAUUAUUGGGCGUAAAGGGCGCGCAGGCGGCGUCGUAAGUCGGUCUUAAAAGUGCGGGGCUUAACCCCGUGAGGGGACCGAAACUGCGAUGCUAGAGUAUCGGAGAGGAAAGCGGAAUUCCUAGUGUGGCGGUGAAAUGCGUAGAUAUUAGGAGGAACACCAGUGGCGAAAGCGGCUUUCUGGACGACAACUGACGCUGAGGCGCGAAAGCCAGGGGAGCAAACGGGAUUAGAUACCCCGGUAGUCCUGGCCGUAAACGAUGGAUACUAGGUGUAGGAGGUAUCGACCCCUUCUGUGCCGGAGUUAACGCAAUAAGUAUCCCGCCUGGGGAGUACGGCCGCAAGGCUGCAACUCAAAGGAAUUGACGGAAUCACUAGUGAA
rnacentral:rRNA from 1 species